rnacentral:rRNA from 1 species
GAUGAACGCUGGCGGCGUGCCUAAUACAUGCAAGUCGAGCGAACGGACGAGAAGCUUGCUUUUCUGAUGUUAGCGACGGACGGGUGAGUAACACGUGGAUACCCUACCUAUAAGACUGGGAUAACUUCGGGAAACCGGCGCUAAUACCGGAUAAUAUUUUGAACCGCAUGGUUCAAAAGUGAAAGACGGUCUUGCUGUCACUUAUAGAUGGAUCCGCGCUGCAUUAGCUAGUUGGUAAGGUCACGGCUUACCAAGGCAACGAUGCGUAGCCGACCGGAGGGGGUGAUCGGCCACACGGGAAGUGAGACACGGUCCAGACUCCUGCGGGAGGCAGCAGUAGGGAAUCUUCCGCAAUGGGCGAAAGCCUGACGGAACAACGCGGCGCGAGAGAUGAAGGUCUUCGGAGCGUAAAACUCUGUUAUGAGGGAAGAACAUAUGUGGAAGGAACUGUGCACAUCUUGACGGUACCUAAUCAGAAAGCCACGGCUAACUACGUG